AUCUUCUCUCCAUCCUUUACCUCUUGUAUGAUUUGGAGCAGAUUAUUCUCUUAGCCUCCUCUUUCAGCUUCGCUUUUCUUUAUAAAUGGGACCAAGAUCUACUUCAUAUGAAGAUUAAAUGAGGGAAGGAUGUUGAAUGGACCAUCUACUUCUGAGAGGCGAAGCCCCAGACCCAUCUGGAUGGGAGAGGCCGAGAUUGAGUGGGCAGUAAAGGUCUUCAAAAUCCAUUAUGUAUUUUACACUUGCAGUACAUCUGAAUUUGAACUAGCCAUACUUCAAGAGCUCAAUACCCACAUGUGGCUAGUGGCUUGUGUUCUGGACAAUGCAGGUCUGGAGCACACUAGUGCUCCAUAUACGGGAG
rnacentral:lncRNA from 1 species